CGACGCCUCGAGUAGAAUUUCCCCAAACGGCAUCAUCUUCUCUCUCCGUCUUUCUCAUCAAAAACCCUAAAAAUCCGUGCAGAAACAGGCUUUUAGUCUGAGAGAGCGCUCCUUUUCCCGGCAAAGACAGAGAUAGAGAAGAAAAGAAAUUGGCGGGAAGGAUCCAACGGUCGCAACUGCCGUCGCGGGAAAUUCAAAGAUCUCAACGGCCAUUUCGUAACGACCUCUUCCUAAGACGAAGCAGAGAACGCCAACUUCGAAGAUGAAUCUGUAUCUUUGUAGAUUCGAAUUGAAUGGAAGCUGCCUCGAUCCAUUUAAAUAAUUUCAGCUCAGUUUAGUUAGGUGGGCUGUUCUUUUUUUAGUUGGUGGGAUUUUUCCGACUUGCUUGGUCUUUAUACCAAUGGAGAAUUCAGAGGUUACUGAUGUGGGGGUGAGUUCAUCCAGCGACUGGUCAAUGCAACCGUCUGGUAGUUUUAAGAGCAGCGAGAAUUUUGGUAGUGAUUCAGCCUUCUAUGAGAAGUUCCUCCUUGAAGACUUGGAUUCAUAUAUGGAAGAUAUUAACGUACGUCUGACCAUCUCGAGGAUGGUGAGCGAUUCCAUCAUCAAGGGUAUGGUGACUGCGGUCUCAGAGGAGGCUGCUGAGAAGAUCGCUUCAAAAGAAGCAGAGGUGGCAUUCUUGAAUGAAAGAUUGCAAUUUUACGAGUCAGACGCAGAUAAAGAUAAAGAACUUGGGUUGUCCACAGUGGCCAAUGAAGCCAAACAAUUGAAAUUUGAGGUGCCAUCGAAUUGUUUGGAUUCACGUGAUGCCAAACCAUAUCCCAUCAAGGAGCAUUUGGGUUAUCUGAAGAAAGAGUCGGAAGAGCAGUUUCAUAGGCUUGCAAAAGAAAUCGGGGAGAUGAAGGGCUGUAGCUCAAUUAGCAGAAUGAAUUCAGGUGGUAAACAUGAGGGGAAUAUAUCAGAUAAAUGGGUCGAAAUUGACCGAAGUCUCAGUACGUUGAAAAACAUAUUAAGAUCAGUCUAUGAACAGAUUGACAAUGUGGUUUUCUUUCCAAAGGCUUCGCUUGAUGAACGGCAGUGGGAGCUGGAUUUUCAAGAAGAAAUUGAAGGUAUCGUGUUUCAGAGUUAUAUUAGGAGCCUUCUGGAGGAUUUUAAAGAGAAGCCAUGUGAGCAAAGAAACCAUUUACCCGGUAGCCAAAAUAAGAAAUGGAUGAUGAAGGUUGAUGAACUUACGAGCUUGCGCGAAGAACUAGAUAUCAUUUCUAGGUCGUUGUCUGUUCCUGAAUCCGGGAAGCUGCUGUCUCAUGGGUCCCAUGAAAUUAUCGAUGAAUGGACUAGUAAUGAAAGGAAAGAUCGGAUUCAUCGGAAGGUUUUGGGGGCUCAUAUUUCGCCAUCCAUUUCUGUUCGAGAGGAAAAUGGUAGUGCCGUGUCCAAGAAAUCUAAGGAAUUCAACAACGCUGCACCCGAGAUAGCGGAAUCGGCCCAACUGAAGCACAUGUCCAAGGAAGAGCUGAUAAGCUAUUUCAACACAGAAAUUACUAAAAUGAAGAGAAACCAUGAGACAGCCGUGCAGGAGAUAACCGAAGAGUACUUCAGCUUCCGGAGGGAAUUCCUCAAAGAAAAAGGUUCUUCCCAUCCAAGGAAAGACAAGGAGUUUGAUGCCUUGAGGAAGAAAAUCCCAGAAGUCAUUCUAAAACUGGACAGUAUCCUUGUAGAGAAUGAGAAAUUUCCUGCAGUUUGCGAUGAUCACCAAAGCAUAUGUAGCUUGAAUGAUAGUCUGGUCCGCGAAAAUCAACGUCUGCGAGACAUGCUCAUGGACAAAAAGAAGGAGAUUAAGUGUCUCCAUUUGCAGGUCUCUGAUGCAGCUGAUAAGAUGUCAAAUCAUUCACUGGCAGAGACUAACUUCUUAAAAAGGAUAAAAAAGCUUAAAUGCGAUAUGGAAGAUCUGAAGAUAGAUGCUUUCAUUCAGCAAGAGAUAUAUAAGACCGUCCUUAGGGAGUUAACCAAAAAGACAAAACGUGAAAUGGAUGAUGCAGACAUUGAGGCUAUCUUCAUGCAUGAGAUAUCUGCAAUCAUCUUCCAAGAAGCUUUCAAGGAUGCCGAUGCUGCCUUCAAUCUCACGAUGAUGCAAUACAAUGAGGAAAAGCAACGGGUUGUUCACCUUGAAGCAAUACUAUUCGAAAAAGUGAAGACAUUGGAUUCAGAAACCGAGGAAAAGGAAAAGUUGAAGCAAGAGAUAGUGUCGUUGAUGGCAUUGAUGGAGGAGAAGGAGAAGUUGUCAUCAGAAGUGGGGACCGCAUUGAUGAAACAAAAGGAGAAUUUUGAGUUGGUUUGCCAAGAACUUAGCACAUUGAGGGACCGAGCAAGUCGGCAAGAGAUACUAAUUUCCGAGAAUAACAAGGAAUUGGAUUCGAUAAAGGGUAUAUUGAAGGAGGCUUUGGAGCGAAAUCAGCUAUACGAAGUACAAGUAGGUGAGCUAAAUCAGAAAUUAAAAGUAGCUGUAGACAAGUGGAGAGAAUCAGAGAGACAGAAAAGUAUACUUAAUGCCGUUAUUCAAGAGAAGCAAAGUACAGUAUUAUCAGCCAUAGAAAACGAACAGGCGCAAAGGAAGCAGAUGGAGUCUGUUGUCGUUUCAGUUCAAGAAUUAUCAAAAUUUAUGUUUAAUUUCGAAUGCAGAGUAGCAGAGAAUGUCGUGCGAAAUAGUGCGAGAUUAGAAAUGUUAAAUAACCAAUGCAGUCCACUUGUUCAACUGGCUAAUUUACUCAAGAGAAAGGAGUUGGUGUACAAGCUAGCACUUGAAAGAAGAUGUUCCGAUCUUCAAAAGGCCGAAGCGGAGGUCGAUCUGUUAGGCGAUGAGGUGGAUGCGCUUCUAAGCCUUCUUGAGAAGAUAUACAUAGCGCUCGACCAUUACUCGCCAAUAUUUCAGAAUUAUACUGGAGUUAUGGAGAUCAUGGAAUUGGUCAGACGCGAAUUAAAGGGCGAAAGGCAUAAACCAAUUUGAUUUAUGUAACUAAAGCUUCUCUUGAUUAUGUGCGUGUGAGAUGAUGCUGUUCUUCAGGUAGGCCCCGUCAUUUAUGUUCCAAGGCCUGAAAAUGAAGCCAAUCCGCUCGUCAGCCAGGCGGACACGUUGGAGAAUUACAUUGCUAGAAGCGAUUGACCAGUAGUCCACAUCUAACAUGCAUGCUUAGCCGCCUGACGAUCGGACUGACCUGAUUUUCUGGCCACCAGGUCCACACAUAUAAGCUGUGGCUGUUUUGUCCCCAUCUGGAGCAGUUUUUGCGAUGUGAGUACCCUCAGUGAUGCAAUGGAGAAGAACGAGCGCUUUCGAUGGGUAAGCGAAAGAUGGGAAAUGACAUGGUAGAGACAUCUCUGUCCUGUUAUGAUAAAUCAGGGCCAUCCAUCAGGUGGGCCCCAUAAAGGAUGAUCAUUGGUCCAAAUUCAUGCACUCUUAGUAGUCCUAGAAGACAGUCGACGGUUGAUGUUCUGGCGGAAAAAAAGUACAGGAAGUGUUAGCUCGGAUUAUUCCGGUUGGUGGGGUUCAUCAGCCAUGAGCCAUCCUUGCUAUGGCCCACUAGGUGAAUGUUCCCUGUCCACCAUCCCCUCCAUCCACAUCUUUAUCACAUCAUUUCCCAUUCAAGGAAUACUUUAGCAAAUUUUCAAUCCUUUGGAUUCCAAUUGAGAAAUAGAUUAAGUAGAAAUGGCAAAUGCCAAACGGUCACCAUCGAUCAUUGCUGGGCCGGCAUGACCGUUAUAGUACAGGCAUUGGAUUUAUUCCUUUGUAUUUUUGUUUCCUUUCCAUAUAUUUGUUGAUGCAAUUUUGAAUUUUAAAUUAUGUUCAUUGCAUGUAUGUAAAUUGGACAGAUUUUGCAGAAUGCACACAUCAUUAUUUUAAAUUAUGAAAAUGUAUAUUUCUAUGGUUUUAAAUAGCA